rnacentral:lncRNA from 1 species
CAGAAACCCUGUAUCAUUUAUCAUAUUUAUAGACAAAACUGUUACACAUGUACGAGAAGAUAUACGUGUUUGCUACAAGAGAUAAACUAUAAGAUUAGUGAGAGUCAAACAACUUGAACUUUAUCAUGUUCGAGCUUUAUCAUAGCCAACUAACUCUAUUAAAGGAUGAGACGUAACAAAAUAAUCUUUAUCCUUACAAGUAGUUGGUGGACAUUUGAUCGAGAAUUAAGUCUCAAAGGAAGCUCCCAAUUUUACUAUCAGAUUAUUGUUUUCAAUUCUAGCGUAGGACUUCGGAGAAUUUCCAUCACUUUCGAGCUAAUUGUGUGGUCUAUCUGAGCACCGCUUGUCUUUAUCCACUCUCCCAAUGAAGACAAUGCGAGGCACUGAUCGCCAUCCUUUAACAAAAUAAAUUGUUUACUAGAGUAACAUUCUUCACUACACAUUCACAAAAUAUAAUAUUCCACACACAAAUCAAUAAAUUUUUUUUAAAUUUCAACCAUACAUUCUCCAAAAACUACUAUUCAAAACUCUAUAUUUUCUUUUAAAAUGGGAGACAAACAGCUCUAGUUUUAGCUUUGACAAAUCAAGUUCUUUCAUUUCUUGAAUUUGUAAUCAGAUUUUGCAAAAUGGUAUUCAUAUGAAAAAAAAUGUUAGUUCUGUCUUUUACGGAUGAGGUGGGAUGGGAUUUCGAGGGAGGGGCGUGUAAGAAGUUCUAAAGGUUUGGAUGGCACAUCGGGUAUAAUUUACAAAACAAUAAAAAAUGUGAGAAUACUAUAAUUAUUCCUUUUUAAUUUUGACGAAUUUUUUUUAUAUAUUUUUUUUCUUAUAACGGUAAAACUAACGAAAUUGGACAUGAUGUCUUUUUCCACCAAAAAUAUUAUUUUCCACACUAAAUAUUUGAAGCAAGGAGAUUUAUAGUAAUUUCGAUAGGUAGGAAAUUUGUUGCACAAUCUCUAAUGGAUAGGAAUUCUAUUGCUAUUAAGCCAAAAUAAAAGUAUUGAUUUCACCUAAACGUAGGAAUGUCAACGAGCCAAGUCGAAUCUACUCGCGAGCCGAAACACAAGGCACGAACUCGGCUCAAGUAAAAUUAAACGGGUCGCCAAGCAAAAGCUCGACCCGAACUUUCGACUCGAGCCUUAACAAGCAAAGCUCGAGCCGUCUCCUUUCUCUCUCUCUCUUUAUUUUUUAUUUUUAAAUAUUGGCAUUAGCACUACUGCCCUAUUUCUCACUGCCUUUUUUUCCUUCAUUUUUUUUUAUAUAAAGCUCGAGCUUGAGUCGGCGAGCCACACGAGCCGGCUCAAGCAAAGCCCGGAACCCCAAAAUGAGGCUCAACUUGAGCCUUGGCUCGACUCCACCGAGCCUCGAGUUGAGCCACAGACAGUCUGAGUCGACAAAUCCAAUAGACAUCCCUACCUAACCAUUACAUACUAAACUUGGAAAUAUUAAACUUCCAUUCAUAGAAUUUUUUCUUUGUUCUUUUUCUUUUUUUUUUUUUUUCACGAGCCAUGUACUUACAUAAUUAAAUAUAAUCAAGUCACCAUAGUACUUCAAUCAUAAAUCUUACAUCUAUAAUCAACCUUUUCAAGAGUUAACCAUUGGAGUUAUAAUUUUAAAUUAACAUCUUAUAUUAAUAACCAUUGUAGCUUUUCAAAAUAUUCUAUUUUGUUCCAAGAUUUUGAAUUUUUUUUUUCAGAAAAUAAAAAUAAUUAUAUAUACUAAAUAGUAAAUUCUUUUCUGAAAUGUGGACUUGUAAUAUAUUUCUUUUCAUAAAGAAAGAUUGCAUUGAACUUUAUUUUAUGCAGAAAAAAUCAGAUUUUAUUAAUUUAAAAGUAAACACAACUAUAAAUUAUUUCAUCUCCUGCCUCCACAGUCAGUAAAACAAUGCUUAUUGAACCCGAAAGCUGUGUUCACCAUAAAGUCGAAAUCAUAAACAAGAAUCCGAUUUGAAAAAGAGAGAGAACUGUGAAACAUAGCGUACUUGGGAAAGUAAGAUUUUUUGAGACUGUUGGGUCAGGACAUAAGCAACUGAAUUCUGUUACCUGUACGGGCCCUGUACAGAAGGACACACAUUAUGGGGGUGGGGUAAUUUUUUUUUUUUUUUCAAAAUAAUCACCCACCCCCACCCCCACCCCUCUCACCCAGCAUGUGAGGGGCUGUACGUCAGGCAUUUUCCUAAGCAACUAAAUCUUCAAUAAAUCUGCUCUUGCACUAAAUAAUACAAUACAGGAAAAUAAAUAACAGGUAAAACAAUAACGUAUAAUAAAGCAGACAAACAUAAUGGUAAUUCAAUGUUUCUUCGUAUGAUCAAUUCUACAUAAAAGUUCACUUGGUAAAACCCCAAAGCAUUCAUUAUUAAGUACACAAAAAGGUCAAUCCAGGAAACUACAUAAAGUAACUUCCCAAUAUAUAUAUAUAUAAUAUAUAUAAAAAAAGACAACAUAUUGACCGUGGCAAGCAUAAAAAUCUUAUUGACAACAAAGAGUCAACAAAUCUGGUAACUGUGAGACGUAUCAGUGAAAGAUCAAGUUCAGACAGCAGGCAGCGCAAUCGUGUAGGCACGAUUGACCGUGUGAGAGAGGAAGAGAGGAAGGGAAGAAGCAAAAAGGGGGGGGAAAGGGGGCCNNNN